rnacentral:sRNA from 1 species
AUUUUUUCCUCAAUUUUAGCUUUUUUGAUUAAAAAUUAAGCGUUCGUAAAUUAUUUAUAAGUUUUUGUAAAUUCUUGCGAACUUUUUCCGUUAUACUAUUGUCAUAAAUUACGAGCAACUUGCAGUUGUUUUAAUAAAAUUGGUUCCUUAGGUUAUUUGCCUCUCUUCGUGAGAGGCAUUUUUUUUAUGUAUUUUACAGGAAAAUCGCAGGCUUUA